AUUGAACGCUGGCGGCAGGCCUAACACAUGCGAGUCGAGCGGAGCGGCGGACGGGUGAGUAAUGCCUAGGAAUCUGCCUGGUAGUGGGGGAUAACGUCCGGAAACGGGCGUUAAUACCGCAUACUAUCAGAUGAGUCUAGGUCGGAUUAGCAAGUUGGUGGGGUAAAGGCCUACCAAGGAGACGAUCCGUAACUGGUCUGAGAGGAUGAUCAGUCACACUGGAACUGGGACACGGUCCAGACUCCGACGUGAGGCAGCAGCGGGGAAUAUCGGACAUUGGGCGAAAUCCUUAUCCAGCCAUGCCGCGUGUGUGAAGAAGGUCUUCGGAUUGUAAAGCACUUUAAGUUGGGAGGCGUUACCAACAGAAUAAGCACCGGCUAACAUCGUGCCAGCAGCCGCGGUAAGAC
rnacentral:rRNA from 1 species